UGAAGGAUAAUGUUGCUUUAGCAACGGCCCGAAGGGCGAGGCAAAGCCGAGUCAUCCUGCACGACCCACCA
rnacentral:sRNA from 3 species